AGCGAGUGCUUAGUUCAGUGCCACACGCUAGUUUCGAGGCGUGACGUAACCUGGACAAUUGAGAAUCAACUAUGCACAAAAAUUUCUGACUCUCAAGAUUGUUCCUUAUUUUGUCCCAGCUCGGUGCCACCUCACAAUCACCACAAGCAACGAACACCAUUGCUACAGGACUGCCACAAUAUGCCACCACUGAAAUAAGAACAACACGAGUGUCAGAACAAUGUUAGACUGAAGCAAGAGCUACAAGGGAACGUGGCCAUGUCGAUAGAGGCUUCAGGCAAUAGGAACCAGGCAGAGACUUGAUAACCACCAAGCAAAACAAUAUGGUUUGAAAAAGCGGUACGACGGUUGAGAGGCGAUAGAUGCGUCGUCGGCGCAUUUAUCGCCGACCACAAAAAAGCCUUACUACCGAUUCUGGCGAAAUCCCACAACAACUAUGGACCGACCCUCCUCGACGCAACGGCGUCUGGGCCAGCAAAACUGCGACAUCAACAUUAGCCUAGACGUCUACUGUUCCCUACUGCCUACUAAGAACGACCGCAACAACAGCAGGAUGCAACCAAGCGCUAACAAAUACACUCUCACUCCUGUCUGGUUCGUUCACCGUACCCUUGACAAGUAUCUGUAACUGUAGAGCAGCCGCGCGGAAAGUCGGCCAAGCCGGAAGUGGAACGCAUCACAAACCGACAGGCCAGCGCGGCCUUUUCGUUCGAACUCUCCCCUUGAGUUCAAGUAGAGGAUAUAUGCAAUGUAACGUUGUACUGACGCUGUACUAGGCCGAUGGAUACUAGGAACGCUGCAUUUCGACUCGGCCUGCUCCCCGAAGAGUGAUAAACGUGUGGAAGGGGCGCAUUGACGGGACUGAGGCAGAGGAGGAAAACAAAAAAGUAAGCGAGCCAGCGAACAGUUGAGGAAGUUGUGCGAUGUACAGCGCAACGAUCCCCUCGACGGAAUAGAAUGAAACGACUGUUUGAGAGAGCGAUAUUAUCCGAAACCGAUGAGGGAUGUGAGGUGACCGAACACUUCACACGAAUAGUCUCACCUACCCGGGCAUGAUAUACAAUUCGCUGGUGAGGACGGCAAAGGGGAACAUCUGUAAUUCGAAAUCAAGCAAAGCAGCAAGCAUAUAGAAAAUUUGUCAAAUAGGGCUAUAGAUGUAUCUUUGUUAGCAACAAUAUGAGGUAGUAUCUUGUUCUGCCGAUAUGCCUUAAAGAUAAUAAAAUCCUGACAUUAACUAGUAAACUUUAUAAUCGUUUUGUAAUUCAAAUGUUCAUGUGACCUUAAAGCUGAGUAAUACUAGGGUAUUCCAGAAGUUAGAAAAUAUCUCUUCUAAAACUUGAACCAGAAUCUACUAGCUUCUGUCGACACCACAU
rnacentral:lncRNA from 1 species